GUCCCUACGGGGGGCAGCAGUGGGGGAUAUUGCACAAUGGGGGGAACCCUGAUGCAGCGACGCCGCGUGGGUGAAGGAGUGCUUCGGCAUGUAAAGCCCUAUCGGCAGGGAAGAAGCAAGACGGUACCUGACUAAGAAGCCCCGGCUAACUACGUGCCAGCAGCCGCGGUAAUACGUAGGGGGCAAGCGUUAUCCGGAUUUAAUGGGUGUAAAGGGAGCGUAGACGGCAGUGCAAGUCUGGAGUGAAAGGCGGGGGCUCAACCCCCGGACUGCUCUGGAAACUGUACGGCUGGAGGGCCGGGGGG
rnacentral:rRNA from 1 species